GAAUCCUUCACUGCUUCCUUUUGACCUUCCAGAAGUUUUAGCUUUCAGGCUUGAGGAUAAAAGAAGUUCUAAAUGCAGCAUGUAAAGAGCACAAGACAACUGAUCAAAGUGUGUAACUGACAAAAGAAGGUGAAGAUGAGGAGAGCUUCAGGGCAAGAUUAAAAUGAAGUCCUGGGAUUCAUGGAAGCAGGCAAAAAAUAUAUACAAUUUGAUGAAGACUCUGAAAGUGGACGACACAGUAUGAAUAUACAUAAACCGUCAUGAAAGAAAAAGAAAGAAAAA